rnacentral:lncRNA from 1 species
AAACAGCCUCUGUCUCAGGUUGGGAGUUGCUGCCAUGGAGACCACAAGAGUGGAGAUUUUCUGACACACAGAAAGGAAUGGAUUACAGCUCCUUCUUAUGUAAAUUUCCAUGGAGGGGAAAAAAGAUUAAAAGGAAAAUAAUUCUGCUUUAGUCGUUUUCCUUUAAGGUGAUAAGAUCCUUUGAUUCCAUCGUGGAGAAGAAGGCAACAGCUGUUUGUCACAAAUGAUGGGAAAUGUGCCAACGUCACAACAAGGUUUGAGGGAGGCACAUCUCAUGCUCGGACAUGAACACCCGAUCAUCAUGCUUAUGAACUACAAAAGGAUCUCCAGUAUGGGCUCACGGCAGUUGGCCCUUGAAUAACAUGAAUUUGAACUGCCUGAGUCUGCUAAUAUGUGGAUUAUCUUCUGCUUCUGCACCCUGAGACAGCAAGACCAACCCUUCCUCUUGCUUCUUUUCCUUAGCCUAUUCAACGUGAAGAUGACUAAGUUCACAGAGUUUGAGAGAAACUGUAUUCAAGUUGCUGAAACCAAGAAGCUACACUCACGAGUCUCACCUAAACUCGAAUCUGAUUUAGAUGACAUCAUCCUGGACUUUGAGUUGAUGAAACCUUGGAGGUCUUGGGAGUAAAGCAAGUGUGAUUUGCAUAUGAUGGAUAUGAAUUGUAAUGGCCAGAGCAUGGCUGUGGGAACCAAGACUGAAUUCCAUAAUUUACAUGGAUGUUUGGAAGGUGUCUGCAACUUAAUCUGUGUUCGUUUCUGAGAUGUUGGGCAACUCCUUCUUGGAAGAUGUGGUAAUGGUCUCUUCGAAAAGAAAAUAAUCAUCUGAGUUUUGGCCAAAAUAGUUGAUCGGAUUACCUAUGAAAAUGACUCUCACCCAACUACAAGAAUGUUAUGAUGUAGAAACUCUAAAUAUAUGAGUAAUUAACUAUACAACACUCCAUCCCCAUGUGAAAAUCUUUAAUCUUUUAAGAUACUGAAAUUUUGUGUAUGUCUCAUAAUUUUCUGUAUAUGGUCAAUGAGUUUUGCCUUAGCCAUAAGUGGUCUGUCUGAAAUCUUCUCUAUUAUUUGUGCAUUUUCUUCCUGAUGUACCAAGCCUAGUCUGUUUGUUUUUUCCUAAGAGAAAAGCAGAUGAUUCAACUGUGUAUUUCUCAGUGUUGAUAUUGUGGUUUGAGGUAUUUCAUAAUCUUGAGUAAAAUCUUGUCAAUUUUAUGCUAUGCCUUGUGGGAACAUAUUUUUACUUUUAAGUCUCUUUGGCAAGUGGAGCUUCCUUUGUGUUUCCUCACCAAAUGUAUUCCCCAUUGUUUUCUGAUUAAUUCUUUUUCAGAAUGUUUACUCCUUCUUACCUCAAUGUCAUUACUUUUCAGUCUUGGCUUUGGGUAAACCUAGGACAAGAAUUGGAUAUCCAAAGCCAAUUUCAAUAUAAAAACUAUAAUAUCUAUCAAAAUCUAUGUAAAAUCCUGUGUAUAUUUCUCUUCUUUGUUGAACAGGGGCUUAUAAUCAUGUAGGUAAAUACACGUGGUUUUGAUUUCAGCACUGAUUACUGAAGAUUUGUCUUCCAUUCUUCUGGGCCAGGCCCAUACACAACCAUAGUUAGAAGUAAAAACUAUUUGUUAUACCUGGAAUGCCUUUCCUUUCAAUCUCUGAAUGUCUAAAAUUACUUUUUCUUUGAAGACCACCUCAGGUGACCCUACUGUGGGGAAAAUGCCUGAAUUAUCUUUGUAAUCCCAGCUCAGCCACUUAAAGAUUGUGUAAGUUUAGUGUCAGCAUAUUACUUAAGUUCUUUUAGAUUUAGUUUCCUCAU